rnacentral:rRNA from 1 species
GACGAACGCUGGCGGCGUGCUUAACACAUGCAAGUCGAAUGAUGAAGCCCAGCUUGCUGGGUGGAUUAGUGGCGAACGGGUGAGUAACACGUGGGCAACCUGCCCCAAACUCUGGGAUAACCCCUCGAAAGAGGAGCUAAUACCGGAUACGAACCGGACAGACAUCUGUACCAGUUGGAAAGUUUUUCGGUUUGGGAUGGGCCCGCGGCCUAUCAGCUUGUUGGUGAGGUAACGGCUCACCAAGGCUACGACGGGUAACCGGCCUGAGAGGGCGACCGGUCACACUGGGACUGAGACACGGCCCAGACUCCUACGGGAGGCAGCAGUGGGGAAUAUUGCGCAAUGGGCGAAAGCCUGACGCAGCGACGCCGCGUGAGGGAUGAAGGUCUUCGGAUCGUAAACCUCUUUCAGUAGGGACGAAGCGAAAGUGACGGUACCUAAAGAAGAAGCACCGGCUAACUACGUGCCAGCCGCCGCCGUAA